rnacentral:rRNA from 1 species
UACGAAGGGGGCUAGCGUUGCUCGGAAUCACUGGGCGUAAAGGGUGCGUAGGCGGGUUUUUAAGUCAGGGGUGAAAUCCUGGAGCUCAACUCCAGAACUGCCUUUGAUACUGAAGAUCUUGAGUCCGGGAGAGGUGAGUGGAACUGCGAGUGUAGAGGUGAAAUUCGUAGAUAUUCGCAAGAACACCAGUGGCGAAGGCGGCUCACUGGCCCGGUACUGACGCUGAGGCACGAAAGCGUGGGGAUCAAACAGGAGUUAGAAACCCCUG